UGGGGAAUAUUGGACAAUGGGGGCAACCCUGAUCCAGCGACGCCGCGUGGGUGAAGAAGGCCUGCGGGUUGUAAAGCCCUUUCGGUUGGGAAGAAAAGCUGCGACCUAACACGUUGCGGCCUUGACGUAACCAACUAAAGAAGCACCGGCUAACUCUGUGCCAGCAGCCGCGGUAAUACAGAGGGUGCGAGCGUUAAUCGGAAUUACUGGGCGUAAAGCGCGCGUAGGCGGCUUUGCAAGCCGGAUGUGAAAUCCCCGGGCUUAACCUGGGAACUGCAUUCGGGACUGCAUUGCUAGAGUAUGGGAGAGGGAAGUGGAAUUUCAGGUGUAGCGGUGAAAUGCGUAGAUAUCUGAAGGAACAUCAGUGGCGAAAGCGACUUCCUGGACCAAUACUGACGCUCAUGUGCGAAAGCGUGGGGAGCAAACAGG
rnacentral:rRNA from 1 species